rnacentral:lncRNA from 1 species
CAGGCUUUGGUUACAUCAAACAGGGACUUUAUUUGAAGAAAACAGUUUCUUACUAUGUAGCAAAGUAGUAGGAAAGCCCUUAAAAUUCAAAGUUUAGAAUUUUACUCUAUUCCAAUUCUGCUUACCCCAUCUACCCCCAUCCUGCCACACAAUAUGGAAACCCUUUCAGAUAACUUGCCCAACAGUAGUCAGUUCUUUCUGAUGUAAGUAAUCCAAAAAAAACAAAAGAAGACACAUCUUCCAUUCAAAAAUAAUAUGGGAAAAGCAAGUGAAAAGGGGAACAAAACUUUCCAACAAAUGAGUAGCACUUCAGAAAACUGGCACCAUGCAACAGAUGAAAACUGUGAUCACACAUUUCUCUGUGGAUUUUUUUUAAUUAGCUUAAUAGAGGUGGCAAAGGCAGAUCAUCAAUAUGAAACUAUAGGAACCCAGAGAAGAAAUGUUGGCAGAUGAUGACCAGAAAGUUAGAAGAAGUAAAAUGGAAACUGGCUUCACUCAGAGAACAAACAAAAGAAAGAAACCAGUGCUCAGAUUACUACACGGUCGUAGUAAAGUGGAAGAAACAGAAGGAAGAAGAGUCAGGGUGGAAAGCAUUCCUCUGUUGCUUACAACACAUUCUGGGAGACUGUCUUUCUUCAGGGUAUUAAAAAAAAUAGAUAAAAGCUCUACUCUUGUGGAACUCAAAUUCUAGUGACACGAGGCUGGAAAUAAAUGAUAAAUGGAACGUGUAUAGGAGAUGCUGAUUAAUGCUUCAAAGAAAAUUAAGCAAG